CACUGUCACUCCUACGGGAGGCAGCAGUGGGGAAUAUUGCACAAUGGGCGCAAGCCUGAUGCAGCCAUGCCGCGUGUGUGAAGAAGGCCUUCGGGGUUGUAAAGCACUUUCAGUCGUGAGGAAGGUAGUGUAGUUAAUAGCUGCAUUAUUUGACGUUAGCGACAGAAGAAGCACCGGCUAACUCCGUGCCAGCAGCCGCGGUAAUACGGAGGGUGCGAGCGUUAAUCGGAAUUACUGGGCGUAAAGCGCAUGCAGGUGGUUUGUUAAGUCAGAUGUGAAAGCCCCGGGGCUCAACCUCGGAAUUGCAUUUGAAACUGGCAGACUAGAGUACUGUAGAGGGGGUAGAAUUUCAGGUGUAGCGGUGAAAUGCGUAGAGAUCUGAAGGAUACCGGUGGCGAAGGCGGCCCCCUGGACAGAUACUGACACUCAGAUGCGAAAGCGUGGGGAGCAAACAGGAUUAGAUACCCUGGUAG
rnacentral:rRNA from 1 species